GGGGGAGGAACUACAAGUCCCGUGAAGCUGCACCGCCCGCCCGCCGCCAGCGGGGCUUUAUAAGCGGGGAAAUGGCCCGGACGCCGCAGUCGGAGCAUCUCUGGGCGUUGUGGUAAUGGUUCUGUUCGGGCACGGAGCGGCGGCGAUGCCGGACGGAUCCCCCUCCGUUCGCCUCUCCUCCUCCGAGCAUCGCGGGGUCGUCCCCUCCGGGAGAUGUGAGUGCGGAUGAUGGUGGCGGGGUGAUGCGGCGGCUGGGAGGCGGCCCGCUGAGGUUUUGGUAACUGCCAUCGCUGAUGGGUGGGUGGAUGCGAUGGCUGUUGGAGUGUCCUUUGUACCUGGAAGAGAGGAGACACAAUCAGCCUGACCACGUGUGGGUUUGAGACUUCUCACCUUCGGCCAAGGAAGGAGGAUUCAUCUUGGGAUGCCUUCUGUCUGCUGGGAUCUCACAUCUGGAGCCCUCUUGGACUGCUGUGGGUUUUGGAUGCGCCCUUCUGCCUAUAGCUGGGAAUGUGUGCUGCUGCCAGGUGCCCACAGACACCUGCUCCUCUAAACCUGCUGGAUUAUUUCUUUUGGCAUCACUCAGCCAGCCCGGCAGCUUUUCUUCAUCUUAUGGAACUGCCUUUGGUGCUUGAGAUCAUCCAACUUACAGAUGUAGAAAGCUGCAGUUGCAGCCCAGAGCUGCAGACACCUCUCCUUUUUGGGCUAUUAUUUCUCAGCAUUGCAGAGCUUUGCAAGAAGACCCCAUCCAUGCAUACGUGUGGGAAUGUCCUGCUGGUCCUGGGGCCAACAGUGGAGGCUCAAGGUGCACCUGAGAGGAGAGCUGAGGCGCUGCAGCAGGAACAGCCACCAGCACAUCGCUGCGGAUGGGAGGGAGGAAGGGCAGAGGCAGCACAGUGCCCAGCAGCCCUCAGGGAUCGGGGUGCACCCGGGGUCAUCCUGUGCUCCUUCCCCCAGCGCUGACAUGGGAACGGCCCCAGUGCAGCCACCCACCGCCGCUCGCUGUGAUCCAGGGUCCUGAGCUGACCUCGCUCUGCUGCACCCACGCAGGGCAGGGAUGGCUGAAUUACUGCUCCCUGCUGCGCUCUGUACAUCCUCCUCCUGGCCGGGUGGCCUCAGGAUCUGUGGGGCUGGAUGGCUGCGUGCUCUCAGGUCAAACAGUAGCUCCAUUUUUUCCCUUGUGAAGGACCAAGAGCUUGCCCUGGUUCCAAGGAAGUAGCUGUGGAUUUUAAUUUAAUUUUAUUUUUUCCCUCCUCCGUUCUUCUUUCUGAAUCUUUUUGGGAUUUUGGGCUCUUAAUGAGGAUGCUUGGACCAGCACAGGGUGCAGCCCCAUGCAGAGGGGUGAACGCCUCUGGAGAAGCAAUGGGAGCAGCACACCAAGAGCUGGCAACCGCAGUGCCUUGGGUCUGAAACUGGGAGCUGUGUCCCUUCACAUCGCAUGGCUGCAUCCUCCCCAGCACAUCCCAUAGGGAUUAGGUGGGAUUCUGGGGGGCGCAAGGCCAAACCGCAGUGAGGGGAACGUCAAGAAGGGAAAAAUGUCACCCUCAGAAACAAUUAAACUGCUUAAUAAAAUCCGUUGCCUCUCGGA